GAUGAAGAACGUAGUGAAAUGCGAUAAGUAAUGUGAAUUGCAGAAUUCAGUGAAUCAUCCAAUCUUUGAACGCACCUUGCACCCUUUGGAAUUUUCCAAAGGGUAUGCUCGUUUGAGUGUCAUUGUACUCUCACACUCUCCGAUCCUUUGGAUAUGGGGAGCGGUGGACUUGGGUGCUUGCUGCUUCCUUGUGGCUCACCUGAAAUGCGUCAGUGCAUCUCUUGAUUGGACAUAGUACGGCGUGAUAAGUGUCUUCGCCGGCACCUCAUAAGAGGGUGGCCGAUCGGGAGCUCUGUGCUUUCAAACCGUCUUCGGACAAUCCCUGACAACUUGACCUCAAAUCGAGUAGGACUACCCGCUGAACUUAAGCAUAUCAAUAAGCGGAGGA
rnacentral:misc_RNA from 1 species